rnacentral:rRNA from 1 species
UACUCCUACGGGAGGCAGCAGUGGGGAAUUUUGGACAAUGGGCGCAAGCCUGAUCCAGCCAUGCCGCGUGAGUGAAGAAGGCCUUCGGGUUGUAAAGCUCUUUCAGCCGGGAAGAAAACGCAUGGGUUAAUACCCUGUGUGGAUGACGGUACCGGAAUAAGAAGCACCGGCUAACUACGUGCCAGCAGCCGCGGUAAUACGUAGGGUGCGAGCGUUAAUCGGAAUUACUGGGCGUAAAGCGUGCGCAGGCGGUUUUGUAAGACAGGCGUGAAAUCCCCGGGCUCAACCUGGGAACUGCGUUUGUGACUGCAAGGCUAGAGUAUGGCAGAGGGGGGUUGAAUUCCACGUGUAGCAGUGAAAUGCGUAGAGAUGUGGAGGAACACCGAUGGCGAAGGCAGCCCCCUGGGCCAAUACUGACGCUCAUGCACGAAAGCGUGGGUAGCAAACAGGAUUAGAUACCCUGGUAGUCCACGCCCUAAACGAUGUCAACUAGGUGUUGGGUGGGUAAAACCAUUUAGUACCGGAGCUAACGCGUGAAGUUGACCGCCUGGGGAGUACGGCCGCAAGGUUAAAACUCAAAUGAAUGACGG